GCCGAGGUGGCGAAAUUGGCAACCGCAUAACACUCAAAAUGUUACGGGCGCAAGCCCUUGAGGGUUCGAGUCCCUCCCUCGGCA
rnacentral:tRNA from 1 species